AUUGAACGCUGGCGGAAUGCUUUACACAUGCAAGUCGAACGGCAGCACGGGGGCAACCCUGGUGGCGAGUGGCGAACGGGUGAGUAAUACAUCGGAACGUGCCCAGUCGUGGGGGAUAACGUAGCGAAAGUUACGCUAAUACCGCAUACGAUCUACGGAUGAAAGCGGGGGACCGUAAGGCCUCGCGCGAUUGGAGCGGCCGAUGUCAGAUUAGGUAGUUGGUGAGGUAAAGGCUCACCAAGCCGACGAUCUGUAGCUGGUCUGAGAGGACGACCAGCCACACUGGGACUGAGACACGGCCCAGACUCCUACGGGAGGCAGCAGUGGGGAAUUUUGGACAAUGGGCGCAAGCCUGAUCCAGCCAUUCCGCGUGCAGGACGAAGGCCUUCGGGUUGUAAACUGCUUUUGUACGGAACGAAAAGGCUCUGGUUAAUACCUGGGGCUCAUGACGGUACCGUAAGAAUAAGCACCGGCUAACUACGUGCCAGCAGCCGCCGCAG
rnacentral:rRNA from 1 species